ACCUGAAAUGAUUCUUUUGUGUUGAAUGGUCUGGUC
rnacentral:sRNA from 1 species